GGGUAUAGCUCAGGGGCAGAGUGUGUGCUUGGCAUGCACAAGGUCCUGGGUUCAAUCCCUGGUACUUCCA
rnacentral:tRNA from 1 species